GCGGGCGUAGCUCAGUUGGUUAGAGCGCCAGGUUGUGGCCCUGGAGGUCGUGGGUUCGAUACCCAUCGCUCGCC
rnacentral:tRNA from 1 species